GUGCUUGGUUCAGCAGCACAUACACUAAAAUUGGAACAAGACUCAGACACACACAUGGCCCCAUGGAAGGAUGACACGCAAGCUUGUGCAGUAGUUAUAUUCUUAU
rnacentral:snRNA from 1 species